UACGAGAGCCUCAAGCGUUAUCCGGAAUUAUUGGGCGUAAAGGGUGUGUAGGCGGACGUGUUAGUCCUGUGUGAAAGCCUGUCGCUUAACGACAGAUCCGCAUGGGAAACGGCACGACUAAGAGGGUGCAAGAGGUGAAUGGAACUCACGGUGUAGGGGGUGAAAUCCGUUGAUAUCGUGGGGAACGCCAAAAGCGAAGGCAAUUCACUGGUGCAUACCUGACGCUGAAACACGAAAGCCAGGGGAGCGAAUGGG
rnacentral:rRNA from 1 species